AAUAGCAAAUAAAUCAACUGACAAAGAACUAAUCUCAAAAAUAUAUAAACCUAAAAAUUAAUAUGCUUCCUAUUCUAGGUUUCCCAAACUGACACCCAAUCCUGAGAUACACUCCAUUAUAUUUAAGGAUCUAACAGACACCUUUUUCAACACUAAAUGGUCUCUAAGAUGUCUUUCAAAACAAUUAAUGUGAAGGUUCUAGAGAAAUUGUGUCAAACCCAUCUUCCUUCCUACGAGGAUAGCUUCCAGAAAUUCCGUUUAUGGUUGUUGAGUCAUUGCUUUGUUCUCAGUGCUUUCAGUUUCAUAUAACUCUAAAUCUGUUAGAAAGGUUGCUUUACUUCUAACUGUCUAUUUACUAAAGGAAAGCAGGCAAGACCCGGGAAAUUGAGCUGGUGAAAUAAAAGUUUAACCAUCUAGUGAGAGACGGAGAACUUUGCUACAGAACCACUCUACCUGAGCUGAGCAGAAAACAGACAAGGCAACAUGGCCUCAGAGGCCCACAUGCCAGGCCCAGAGUGCCUCAGUGAGAACACUAAUGGGCGACCGCUGGUUAAUCUGAAAGCCCUGAAGAUCCUAUCUGCCAUCAGGCAGCCUGUUAUGGUGGUGGCUAUCAUGGGCCUCUACUGCACAGGCAAAUCCUACCUGAUGAACAAGCUGACUGGGGAGAAAAAGGGUGAGUAAGACCAGCAGAGCCCAGCCAAGUCCCUUCUGUCCACCCAUACUCCCAGCAUGCAGCACAGUGAUGUGAGGAGAGGAAGUGAGAGACCUGGAAGGAAUAUUGAAAGCUAACUUUCAGUCCACAGUUAUGUUCUUAACGUCACUAUGACCUGUAUCAGAUCACAGCUCUUUGCACUUUGUCUUAGUUUCUUUUUUAAAAGCAUAAAUUGUUCCUUUCCUAGAAAGACUAAUGUGGUAAUAAAAAUUAAGUAAUGUAUGUAAAAAUAAACUAUAAGACAUUUACAAAAACAUUCAUGUAGUGAAAGCAUAUCCGUUGAUCUUUAAAUUAAAAAAACGUUUAAAUUUG